rnacentral:rRNA from 1 species
GUGGGGAAUAUUGGGCAAUGGGGGAAACCCUGACCCAGCAACGCCGCGUGAGGGAAGAAGGUUUUCGGAUUGUAAACCUCUGUCCUUGGUGACGAAGGAAGUGACGGUAGCCAAGGAGGAAGCCCCGGCUAACUACGUGCCAGCAGCCGCGGUAAUACGUAGGGGGCGAGCGUUGUCCGGAAUUACUGGGCGUAAAGGGUGCGUAGGUGGCCUUUUAAGUUGGAUGUGAAAUACCCGGGCUUAACUUGGGGGGUGCAUCUAAUACUGGAGGGCUAGAGUGCAGGAGAGGGAAGCGGAAUUCCUAGUGUAGCGGUGAAAUGCGUAGAUAUUAGGAGGAACACCAGUGGCGAAGGCGGCUUUCUGGACUGUAACUGACACUGAGGCACGAAAGCGUGGGGAGCAAACAGGAUUAGAAACCCUUGUAGUCC